UUCAGGCCUAACACAUGCAAGUCGAACGAAGGCCCGGAGCUUGCUCCGGUCACCUUAGUGGCGGACGGGUGAGUAACACGUGGGAACCUACCUAGCAGUACGGAAUAACUGUGGGAAACUGCAGCUAAUACCGUAUACGCCCUACGGGGGAAAGAUUUAUCGCUGUUGGAUGGGCCCGCGCCUGAUUAGCUUGUUGGUGAGGUAAAAGCUCACCAAGGCUACGAUCAGUAGCUGGUCUGAGAGGAUGAUCAGCCACACUGGGACUGAGACACGGCCCAGACUCCUACGGGAGGCAGCAGUGGGGAAUAUUGGACAAUGGGGGCAACCCUGAUCCAGCCAUGCCGCGUGAGUGAAGAAGGCCCUAGGGUUGUAAAACUCUUUCACCAGGGACGAUGAUGACGGUACCUGGAGAAGAAGCCCCGGCUAACUCCGUGCCAGCAGCCGCGGUAAUACGGAGGGGGCUAGCGUUGUUCGGAAUUACUGGGCGUAAAGCGCGCGUAGGCGGUUUAUCCAGUCAGGCGUGAAAGCCCCGGGCUCAACCCGGGAACUGCGCUUGAUACUGAUAGACUAGAGGCCGGGAGAGGGUAGUGGAAUUCCCAGUGUAGAGGUGAAAUUCGUAGAUAUUGGGAAGAACACCGGUGGCGAAGGCG
rnacentral:rRNA from 1 species